UACGUAGGCUGUUAUUUAAGUCAGAUGUGAAAGCCCCGGGCUUAACCUGGGAACUGCAUUUGAUACUGGAUAACUAGAGUCUGGUAGAGGGUAGUGGAAUUCCACGUGUAGCGGUGAAAUGCGUAGAUAUGUGGAGGAACAUCAGUGGCGAAGGCGACUGCCUGGACCAAGGCUGACGCUGAGGUACGAAAGCGUGGGGAGCAAACA
rnacentral:rRNA from 1 species